CAAUAGCGUAUAUUAAAGUUGUUGCAGUUAAAAAGCUCGUAGUUGGAUUUCUGGUAGGAGCGACCAUACCGGGCUUGAUUGUCCGUGUAAUGCGUUGUCUCCAGCCAUCCUCGUGGAGAGCGUUUCCGUCAUUAAUUUGUCGGAUUCGGGACCCGCGUCAUUUACUGUGAAAAAAUUAGAGUGUUUAAAGCAGGCAAUUGGCUUGAAUACAUUAGCAUGGAAUAAUAAGAUAGGACUUUGGUGCUAUUUUGUUGGUUUGCACAUCAAGGUAAUGAUUAACAGAAUCAGUCGGGGAUAUUCGUAUGCAAAUGUCAGAGGUGAAAUUCUUGGAUUUUUUACAGACGAACUACUGCGAAAGCAUUUAUCAAGGAUGUUUUCAUUA
rnacentral:rRNA from 1 species